UACGAAGGGGGCUAGCGUUGCUCGGAAUCACUGGGCGUAAAGCGCACGUAGGCGGAUUGUUAAGUCAGGGGUGAAAUCCUGGAGCUCAACUCCAGAACUGCCUUUGAUACUGACGAUCUCGAGUCCGGGAGAGGUGAGUGGAACUGCGAGUGUAGAGGUGAAAUUCGUAGAUAUUCGCAAGAACACCAGCGGCGAAGGCGGCGCUCUGGGCCGGUACUGACACUGAGGAGCGAAAGCGUGGGUAGCAAACAGG
rnacentral:rRNA from 1 species